GCAGAAGCUCAGAGCAGGCCUUGAUGGAUGGAUCAAAGAGGCUAGUUCGGCGUUGGCUCGGCAAAUUAUAAAGGCAAGCAAGUGGGAUAGAACAGCCAAGUUUGGAGUCACUUCCUGUGUGGUGGUCGUGGCCAGGAUGGCUUUGUUGCUCCCUGGACUUAACUGGAGGCUCAUGGAGAGGCCCGUAACCAGCUGGACCCCCAGCUCUGUGAUGGUCACCUUGUCAUCCACUACAGUUAUAGCCUUCUCUGCCAAGAUUGAGUCUGACAGUGGAGAUAAAACCUGCAAGAUGUCAAAGAAAUCCAGGAAAAAAGGUGAAAAUAGGAAGUGAAUAAGAUUUUCCCUAAAAUGGGAUUGUUGAGCAGUAAUCUAUGACAUUGUGACGUGAACAAUAAAUCAAUAAUGAUUCUGCUGCACAAGCCGUUGGUGGGAGUUUUUUUAUUUUCUACUGGAAUAAUUUGGUUCGCAGGUUUUUCUCAUGAUAAAUCAGCAGCAAAGGUAAAGCAGUUAAAAAAACAAGGAGCACUUUCAGAUCAUUAGGACUGUUAUCCCAGACUGGGAUAACAGAAAGCUCAUCACUGGUCAACUUACUUGACUGACAACUGAUUCAUGUUAAGUGGAAGACAUUAAUAUCACCUCAUGAAGAAAGUGCCUAAAUUGCAGAUGAUUGCAGAAAAAGUCUUUCCAGGCAUUACAUAGAAAAAGAACCUGGCUCUGGGCUGUAUGCUAAAUAGGAAACCUAAGCCUACUUUUGGUUUAAUUUCUUUUUCCAGGCUCUAAAGACUAAGCAAACACUAAACUUGGCUGGCUUCUUGUAGGUAAAAAUCAAUUCUCUUUGGUUAACACUGGAAAUCCAUUGGAGAAUCACACUUUAACUAUUAAAGCAGAAGCCAAGAUCAUGAUAAGAAGAAGAAUGGUGUGUGAGCAAUGCAUCUUUCUCUACAUGUAUUCACUUAAAGCGUAAGGAUCCCAGUGUGACACAUGGCAUGGUUUGUGUCUCCUGUCAGAUCUUUGUGGUCAUGUUUUCUUCUGUUUGUUCUUGCUUUACAAAUGUGUGUGGAUAACGGUUUGUAGAAAUGAGCAUGUCUGCACAAGUCCAGAGUCCAAAUGUCAGGAAGCAGAUUCCACUCUUGCAGAUGUCGUUAGGAGAUUGAUAUUCAUCCAGUCAGCAUGAAAAACCUGACAAAUUGAAGGUCUGUGUGCCGAGAGGCUGACUCAUAGACUGUGACACAAGACGGAGUCUGCUUUAGACAAAAGAACUUACUCGUCAAAAAUAGCCAAGGCAGGAGCGGCUGUUAUUGUCCUUGAAAUAGACAAUGUCUUCAUGUUCUUUCAGCAUAUUAUUCUAAUGUGUUUUUUUUCUCCUGACAAUAAAAGUUUGAUGAAACCCUUUGGUUGUCUGAUAGAGUCCAAAUGGACAGAUGAUGUCCUUUGCUCACAGACUACAAAGCACGGAGUGAGAGAAGGAGAAUGACAAGCAGGACCUUCCCUGAAACAGCAACAAUGUUCAUUACAGAUAAGGCCUGAGGCUGGGGACAUCGCUUACAUAUGGAAUGUGCAAAAAGGCCUCCGAGCACCUGAAUCACAUCAACAGAAUGACGGAGGAGUGAAGCCAGACCUCGUCUGCAAAAAGGACAGAUUCCCAAAUAGUCACCUGGGGCUCGCUUCAAAGAGUUCUGAUGUUACAAUAUCCAACUUCACAGCAGAAAUGAAGAUCUUUAAAGAGAAAAGUUUUUAUUCAUCUCUACAAAACAUCUCUGCCGGCUCAUAGGUAUCAGUACUGAGCCCCUUCAAUCCGCCUGUAUAUCAACAUCAAUGCACAAGACGCAUCAGUCCUGUUUUCAGCAGAAUAUGUGAGCCAGGUAUUUUUUUUCUCAGCCCUCCACCAUAAUGCUCGACAGUUGGUAUGAGGUGUUUGCGCUCCUGUUCUAUUUUUGGAAUUUCCAAACAUUACUGCUGCACAUCAGCCUGUUUUUCAAGGUGACGUUGUGUCUUAACUUUUUUUUUCUCAUAUUGUCCAAAAGAUAUUGUUGCAAAAGUCCUGUCGCUUCUACCACCAUGGUCAUAGUUCCAUAUUUUUUGAGCAGACCUUCUGUUGGCGGCCCUUCUAAAACAGAUUUCUUCUCUUUGUAUUUUCAACAUUUAGCACAAAAACCAAGGUUUGCAUCGGAAUCUUACUGGAAUCUCACUGGAAUGUUGCCAGAACGUACUUAUUUUUCAUCUCGAAAUAAUGUCAUUUUUACUGCAGCAAUGUUUUGAAAUAGUCUGCUGACUAGGUUAGUGAGUGGCAGUAAUUGCUUCACUAAAAUCAGAUUAAGAAUAUGUGCUGGAUCAAUAAACCUUGGGUUUCAAAGGGCUUUCCCUUUUUAAACUUUGUAACAUUUUAAAACAGGUUACUGUAUUUAAGCAGACAAAAUAGUCAGAGAAAGUUCAGACAUCAAACUCAGUCAGACUCUAUUAACUUCAUUCUCAGUAAUUCCAGAACUUUUUUGCAACAUGCUGCACGAUUGCUAUGUUAGAAGCAUAUUCACAAUAUCUGAAACACUAAAUCUUGUAUGGAACACGUAAAAAAACCGACCAUCUGACAAAUGUUACUGUCACUAUGUUAACUCCCAACCUUGUUAGUAACACUUAAAAAAACGCAGUCCAACUCCGCUGCACUUUAGCCGUAUUAGCAUAUACAAAAUCACACCAAACCAUACAUUUUGACAAAGCGCAGUGUUCUUCUCAAAAUCGCUUUGACAUUUGUAAACACAACCAGAAUUGAUCCCUAUAUAAGGUUCCCUGGAUUAUAAAGCGCACUCUGCUGUUUUUUGAAAAAAAUGAAGGCUUACAGUGCAAAUAUACGGUAUCUUAAAUUUAAAUCCAAUCCAAGUUGUUUCUUUUGUUUCUUUUGAGUUAAACGUCUAUGUUCUCUCAUUCGAAACAACUGGUUAUUUAGGGGAAUGCUGUACUUUUUCAAAGUUUCUUUAGGAUGCACAUCACAAUGUUUUUUUUAUUUCUUAUUUCAGUUUUGUGUGAACUCUGUGUUCCCUCAAAGGGCAAUUUUCCAGAGCACUAAUUAAAACGAAACACUUUUCCAGACCUAUAAAACUUAACUUUGCUCCCUGGGUACAACUUGUGAAGAGGCAACAUGUCAAGUAAGCUUUGGUAACAAAUAAACAUGACCUUGUGCUGCAAUCAUUUAGGUUAUGAGGUUUAUUUACCCUGGGAGUUGAUGGAUUUUCAGACGGUAGGUUGAGGCCAGAAUCGAAUGAGACUGAUUGCAUUUAGCAGUUGCCUCGGUGCAGCCACAUGAGACCACAGGCUUCAGGCUGCCAAGAAAGCAGUGUAUGAGACCACAGGAUUGACAGUGACAAAGCUGAGACAAAGACAAGGACUGCCUUGCCACUGUAAAUCUCUGCUUUUAAUCCAAUGAACCUUGAUUGGUGCUCCAAACUUUUCUAUUUGGUGUUUCUGGCACAUCGUAGGGUUCUUGGUCAUUAGGCUCCGUUUAUGUGUGUUAAAAACUCCAGCAGCAAGUUUUGCUUUACUCUACUAUGCAAUGCAAACUUUACUUUAAUCUGAUAGAUACUUUGCCCAACUUUGCUUUUCCUACUGCCCUUGGUUUUCUAUUCACUUUUAAAAUUCUAACUAUAUUUGAUGUGUAUGUUCACUUAGACUGUCUUUCUUUGGUGUACAACCUCCUUAUUUACUUGAUAACUUUUAUUUGAAGUUAUCUUUAAAGUGUUUGAAACUGGAAAAAGGACAUUUUAACCUAGCUAAAGUUAAACAAUAAAUUAAAAUACAAAAAAUGUCAAACAAAUAUAUAUUUAAAUAUUAGACUCUAAUUGUAUGCACAACCAAUUAAUAAAAAGAAGGGUAAAUAAAUCAGCUGUCUUAGUUGAUUGAAGCAAAAUCAUUUUGAUGUACUUAAAAAGGAAAAUAAUGAAUAAAGGGAAACCAUCCAAA